CUACGGGUUGCACCAGUGGGGAAUCUUAGACAAUGGGGGAAACCCUGAUCUAGCCAUGCCGCGUGAGCGACGACGGCCCUAGGGUUGUAAAGCUCUUUCAGCAGGGAAGAUAAUGACGGUACCUGCAGAAGAAGUCCCGGCUAACUCCGUGCCAGGCAGCCGCGGUAAUACGGAGGGGACUAGCGUUGUUCGGAAUUACUGGGCGUAAAGCGCGCGUAGGCGGAUUGUUAAGUCGGGGGUGAAAUCCCGGGGCUCAACCCCGGAACUGCCCUCGAUACUGGCAGUCUUGAGUUCGAGAGUGGUGAGUGGAAUUCCGAGUGUAGAGGUGAAAUUCGUAGAUAUUCGGAGGAACACCAGUGGCGAAGGCGGCUCACUGGCUCGAUACUGACGCUGAGGUGCGAAAGCGUGGGGAGCAAACAGGAUUAGAUACCCGCGUAGUC
rnacentral:rRNA from 1 species